CAAAGAUGUCAUUUGUUGGAUUUGUACACUCGGGGCAAGUGAGUUGAGCAUAGGAGUACGAAAAUGGUAAAGGUUUCGUGUCCUAUGGUAUAGUAUGCGUUGUGCUAUCAAAUGCGCGACCAUUCUAUUCUCGUCCCGGUCGACAAAAUCGAUCUUUCUCGAUGCUUCUAUGUGUGCACGUAUAUAAAUUCGUUCUUCGUGUGGCGGCAAACUCGUAUACCAACGUAAGCGUAUUUUUCGGUGCAGGUCGAUGUGCCGAGAAGCUUCUACCUUAGGACCUAUUCGAAUGCUCGUUUAGAAUUAAAACAAAAGUCAAAGUCCGCUACGAUGCAAAGAAACGAACGACACUCGAGAUGCGAUAAUAAAAGAAGAAACGAGAAAACUUAUAAGCUAUAUUUUAAGGAGCGUAACGAUGUCAAUUAUUUGUCAAUGUUGCAUCUUUUUAUAAUUCGCGAUAGAAACUCGCGAGACUGCGAGUCUGGAUUGGUUUGGCUCGAUGAGCUUUCCAUUGCUUUGCUUAUAUUUAGAUCGGAAAGAACGUUUCAACGGUUGAUUUAUUCGUGGGACGAAACGAAGAAAAAGAUCGAUUUAUAGAGAUUUUAGAAAAUGAAAACGCUUUAUAUCGCUAUAAAUAUGUUUGUACGCGCGUUACAUCACAUAGAUUAUAUCGAUCAAAUUUUCUGAUAAAUGACGACGUGAUUUUCAUUCAUAAUCCUUCCAAUUUCGCUUAGCAACCAAUUCUUUUCCCGAUAGUCUUUUUCAAUAUAUAUAUUCGAGUAAAAACACAAGAUUGUUUCGAAUAUUGAAAGACGUGCACCGACUUCGUUGAACACGAUAUCUGGAUUUACGAGUACGACAAAAUUCGUGAUGCGCGCGCAUUCUGAAUCUUCUCAACAACGUACGUAUGUGUCAUCAAUUUAUAUGUCACCAAUUUUGAUUGAUCGCGAAUCGAAUGACUCGCCGUUAAACCGUGUAUACCAAUGUUUAGAUUUAUUUCAUAACUUAAUACACAAUUACAGUCAACCAUUUCAAAUAUCAAUCGAGAAGAGUACCUAAAAAUAUUUCUUAUAUUGUAAAAGUCUAUUAGUCGAGAUAAUAAAUUUAUUUCCAAA